GGGGGCUUAGCUCAGUUGGUAGAGCGUCUACUUUGCAUGCAGAAGGUCACGGGUUCGAUUCCCGUAGCCUCCA
rnacentral:tRNA from 1 species